AAAAUUGUCAUUAUUAAGCGAAAUGAAAGGAAUGGAAUAAACAACAUAUAAAAAUGUCCUUGGAGUGAGCCAGUGAGGCAGGCCCAGGUGGGUGGAGUUCUUCACACAGUGUGGUCCUACAGCAACGUACUACAGUGUCACAGUGACACCAGGUUCAUGGUUUACAGACCCUCUCAGGUAACGCCCUUCUCAGGUAAUGCCCUUCUCAUGUAACACUACUCAGGUAAUGCCCUUCUCAGGUAACUCUCUACUCAGGUAACACUCUUCUCAGGUAACUCUCUACUCAGGUAACACCCUUCUCAGGUAACUCUCUACUCAGGUAACACCCUUCUCAGGUAACUCUCUACUCAGGUAACACCCUUCUGAGGUAACUCUCUUCUCAGGUAACUCUCUACUCAGGUAACUCACUUCUCAGGUAACUCUCUACUCAGGUAACACCCUUCUCAGGUAACUCUCUACUCAGGUAACACCCUUCUCAGGUAACUCUCUACUCAUGUAACACUCUACUUAGCUAACACCCUUUUCAGGUAACUCUCUAAUCAGGUAACACCCUGAGGUGAUAACUCUUUACCCUGUUAACACCCUCAAGCUAUAACUCACUACUCCCACAACACUCUACUCUAUAAUAUAAAUCACCCAAUAGAUGACACAGAAACUGAGAUGAACUAUAGACCCCAAUUGAUAUAAUACAGACAUGGGCCAUAAGAUACCUUUCAAAAGAGAUGUCAUUUGUGAUUUUGCAUUGCAUCUUGAACACAGAAGAUGAUAAAAUACCCAGACUCCAGUUAAAUAAUGGUGAUUAAUCAGGCAAUAUUAACAUGAUGUCACUGAGAUAGAAUGAGUUAUACCAAGGACCAACUUGCAAAAAGCAGUCUUAGUAUUAUUGAAAGUCAACACUAAUGUAUGUGCACUAUGUUAAUCUUAGUGCUAAGAUAGAUUUGUGAAAGGGGACCUAGAUUCCAGUGAGAUACACAAGAACAAACUAACGGAAUCCAGACAGUGAAGCACAGAUACCAGUGACAUAGUGCACUAUUCCAUAGAUUCCAGUGAGACUCACUCUGUACCAUUAAGCAGAUCACCCAGUUAUAGAUUGAUUCCAGUG